UACGGGGGGGGCAAGCGUUGUUCGGAAUUACUGGGCGUAAAGCGUGCGCAGGCGGUUAUGUAAGACAGAUGUGAAAUGCCCGGGCUUAACCUGGGAACUGCAUUUGUGACUGCAUGGCUAGAGUUUGGCAGAGGGGGGUAGAAUUCCACGUGUAGCAGUGAAAUGCGUAGAUAUGUGGAGGAAUACCGAUGGCGAAGGCAGCCCCCUGGGUCAAGACUGACGCUCAUGCACGAAAGCGUGGGGAGCAAACAGG
rnacentral:rRNA from 1 species